rnacentral:lncRNA from 1 species
GUUAGGUUCAUACAAAUAUUUACACAUGUUAAGUUUGCUGAAAAUAAACGCAGUUGACAGUGAGAGGACGUUUCUUUUUUUGCUGAGUUUAGAUGUCCAUAAUGUUAGGUGAUGUGUGUCUGUCUACUAGGUGUCCAUAAUGUUAGGUGAUGUGUGUCUGUCUACUAGGUGUCCAUAACGUUAGGUGAUGUGUGUCUGUCUACUAGGUACCCAUAACGUUAGGUGAUGUGACUUCCUGUGUGUCUGUCUACUAGGUGUCCAUAAUGUUAGGUGAUGUGUGUCUGUCUACUAGGUGUCCAUAACGUUAGGUGAUGUGUGUCUGUCUACUAGGUGUCCAUAACGUUAGGUGAUGUGUGUCUGUCUACUAGGUGUCCAUAACGUUAGGUGAUGUGACUUCCUGUGUGUCUGUCUACUAGGUGUCCAUAACGUUAGGUGAUGUGUGUCUGUCUACUAGGUACCCAUAAUGUUAGGUGAUGUGUGUCUGUCUACUAGGUGUCCAUAAUGUUAGGUGAUGUGACUUCCUGUGUGUCUGUCUACUAGGUGUCCAUAAUGUUAGGUGAUGUGCGUCUGUCUACUAGGUACCCAUAAUGUUAGGUGAUGUGUGUCUGUCUACUAGGUGUCCAUAACGUUAGGUGAUGUGUGUCUGUCUACUAGGUACCCAUAAUGUUAGGUGAUGUGACUUCCUGUGUGUCUGUCUACUAGGUACCCAUAAUGUUAGGUGAUGUGACUUCCUGUGUGUCUGUCUACUAGGUACCCAUAAUGUUAGGUGAUGUGACUUCC